rnacentral:rRNA from 1 species
UCUGACCAGCUUGCUGGUUGGUGAGAGUGGCGAACGGGUGGAGUAAUGUGUGACCAACCUGCCCCAUGCUCCAGAAUAGCUCUUGGAAACGGGUGGUAAUGCUGGAUGCUCCAACUUGACGCAUGUCUUGUUUGGGAAAGUGUUUAGUGGCAUGGGAUGGGGUCGCGUCCUAUCAGCUUGUAGGCGGGGUAAUGGCCCACCUAGGCUUCGACGGGUAGCCGGCCUGAGAGGGCGGACGGCCACAUUGGGACUGAGAUACGGCCCAGACUCCUACGGGAGGCAGCAGUGGGGAAUAUUGCGCAAUGGGGGAAACCCUGACGCAGCGACGCCGCGUGCGGGAUGAAGGCCUUCGGGUUGUAAACCGCUUUUGAUUGGGAGCAAGCCUUUUGGGUGAGUGUACCUUUCGAAUAAGCGCCGGCUAACUACGUGCCAGCAGCCGCGGUAAAU